CAAGAGAAGGAGGAGGCGGAGAAGUGAUGCUGGCGCCAGGGAUCCGGGCAGCGGCGGCGGCAACAGCAUCAUCGCCGGGAGUGCAGCUGCAACAGCCCCGUAGCCAUCCAGCCGGGCGGCCGGCCGAAGACAACAAACCCAACUGACUAAGUAAUGAGUGGUAAUGGCCUACACUUACCAUAUUUACACAACUUUACAGUUAACCAGUAUGGCUCUUUGAGGGCAGGCACAGUCUCUAGUACAUAAUCUAAUUAUGGAACAAAAGCUUCAUUGUUUAUGGAAGGAAAUGAUCCUGAAGAAAUCAAGCUAUGUUUUAAUCAAGCAAAAUUUUAAAUAUUUUUGCUCAUACUCCAUGGACUGUCAGUGGUCUUAAAAUAGGAUCAUGGAUGUACAGUUGAGACCAUCGAAUUCCACCUUCACUUUUUACAGAUAGGGAAACAAACUGAAGGAGGCUAAGCAACUCUCUCCCUAUCACAUGUUAAUGAUUGUUUCAGUAAGGAUUUGAACUCAAGUCUUCCCAGCUCAAAACCCAAUGCUGCCUCUGUCAACAUUUGACCUUGAAUUGUUAAGACAAACUCUACCUUUGACAAAGAGCUUUGACAGUUGUAAUGUAUCCCUGAUGAUGCAUCCCUUAGCACCUCCUCCAUAAAAAUUUUCUCCAAUAUUCCCAACCAGAAAUAACCCUUCUUCAUCUGAACUGCCAAAGCCCUUGGGGUCUACUUAACUCUUUUUUUUUGUCUAUUUAACUCUUAUUGCACUUUAAUAUUCUGUCUUUGUGUGGGCCUCCUCCUAGACUAUAAGCUCUGGGAAAACAAGAAUCACCUUUUAUUUAUCCUUAUACUCCCCACAUCCCAAAGUCUUUGUUGUCUAAACAAACGAACUGAUGAGUAAAUGGUUAUUUCAUCCUUACGUAUUCUUUUUUUAAAUGCAGCUUCUGUGUCGGGCUAAAUUAGGUAUCUAUGUGAAAGGGAAUUAAUUGACAAUGGGAUAUUUAAUCAUAUGAAAUGCUGAUAGCUGCUAAGUGAAAGAAGAAAGCAUUUAUGUAAUGUGGGCAUGAUAUUUUCAACCUGCUCAUUUCAGGGAAUGUGCAUGACCCUUUGCUUCAUUUGUUAAUUUAUUCUCUAAACAACCAUUUUUUAAAGUUCUGUUAUAUUAAAAAGCACUGUAUAAGGUGAUUGGAAAACAAAGACUAAAUGACAAAAAUAGCCCUUACCCUCAAGAAGUUUAUAUUCUAUUGUGGAAAAUAUGACAUUGAAGCAGAUAAACAAAUAUUAUAUAAUUUAAGGAGAAAAACUAUUAGCCUCAAGGAUAAUUAGGAAUGACUCCCCAUAAGAGGUAGCAAAUGCCAGAAAACUGAAUCACUUCCUCUUGAAUUGUCUUAGAAAGAUUCUGAAGAUUACCUUGCAAGAUAAGGUAUUGGACACUGAGGUCCUGACUUGAGCUGAACUAUGAAGCAUUCAAACUUUACUGCAGAAAAUGUAACUCCAAUGGACUGGCCAUAUAGCCCAAAUGCCAAAUGCAUGCUAACUCAAAAGACUAUUUUAUGUUAACUUGAACGAGGUAAGCACUCACAAGAUGGUCAGAAGAAGGGUACAAGGUCUCUCUUAAGAACCUCAGUAUCAAUUGUGAGACGAGGGAGAUGCUAGAACAAGACUGCCCAGCAUGGAGUGCCCACAUCAAAAAAAGCCACUGUGCUCUAUGAGCAAAACAGAAUUGCAGAAGCAUAAAGGAAACAUGAGUUUUGAAAAUCCAGAGAUAUCUCUCUCCUAAAUGUUCUAAUCCAGGAGGGGGGGACCUGUGGCCCUCUAGGUCUUCAAGUGUGGCCUUUUGACUGAAUCCAAAUGUCAUUUGUUCUGGGACUUUUGGAUUCACUAAAAGGGCCACACUUGAGGACCUAGAGGGCCACAUGUGGCCUCAAUACCACAGGUUCCCCAUCCCAAUAAUAGACUACUUGUGUGUGACCUGUGAUAGAGCCUUCUGAACUCAAAUUGGACUGAUCAGCCACAACCAAGCACCCCAUACCCUGACUCUAACAUUCUGAUGUCAUUGGUCCUCUUUGAAGAUGAAUGAUAGACAAUAGCAAAAGCUGAGCCUUGAAGAAAAAUUCUGAGAGUCAGAGAUGGGGAGAGUGCAUUCCAGACAUGCCAAACAGCCUAUGCAAAGACUUGGAGGUGGGAAAUGGACUGCAGAAUUCUGGGAACAGUUAGUAGCCCUGUCUGGAUGUACAGAGGAUUGUUAUGAAAUAUGUCUGGAAAGGUAGCCACACUUAAGGGCCCUAAAUGACAAACUGAAGAAUUUGUAUUUUAUCCUAGAUGUAAUAAAGGAUGUUCUAAUUAUUUGGGA